rnacentral:piRNA from 1 species
UGACUAUUACAUUCUCAAGAA